rnacentral:lncRNA from 1 species
CCUCAGUCCCCGCUCCCUCCUGCUGUCACCAACUCCCCAGGCUGCCCACCAGCCGUGGCACACCCCGCCCCCAGCCAGGCCCAGCCUGCUCCUUGAGGCUCCCCUCAGCAGACACGGAGGCAGCCAACCUUUCUCUGCAUAUGUUCUUGAUUGAUCAGGACCAGGUUUGCACAUCCCAGCUGUUGUUCCAUGGCGAGCA